rnacentral:snoRNA from 1 species
AACACGUGAUUUGGGCAUUUUCUCAACAUCACUUUAAAUCUUUCUCAUGCUUCACAAAAGGCUUCAUCUAAUCCUUGUAUGAACAUAGAAAUAUCUAACUUUGCU